rnacentral:lncRNA from 13 species
CCCCCCUCCUCUUUCUAGAAGUGUCGGUUGAUAGAGACAGCAGAUCAGGAGCUGACUGACUUCACUAAAUGUCUGGCCAUCAUGGUGGAGGAGAUCAAAAGACAACCGCUUCGGAACACUCUCAGGGAGAAGAGCUAAUGAAAGAGAGGGGAUGGCGAGAGGCAGAGCGGGAGAGCGGGAGAGCUAUAUUGAAGAGAGGUGGAUACUAUAGUGACCCUGGGUGGUCUGGCUGACAGGAAGGUUUGACCAGACCGUGGCUUCAGUAGAGACUGUACCACGCCCUCAACAUGACACAACCUACCUCUGGUGUUUCUACAGGGAUGCAGUCUGGCCUACCUGCUACGGCCGGUAACCGUGUUUCCACCGUCUGGAGUGGCACGCUGGAACUUCCAGAGGCUUGAAGACCUGAAGCCAUGUGAUGUGGUCCAGGUAAUUAUCACACACACGUAUACUCACUCACUCACUCACUCGGUUUUGUUGUAUAAUUAUUUUCACUUAAAAAAUGUUUACCUUUCUUUUUUAAAUCUGACACCCCUAUUAGCUCAACCACAGUCCUCACAGCUGCAUUCAUCAGCCCCUGCACCUGCUACACCGGCUGUGACAGGUGAUUAUCACAUACAUGUAUACACACAUGCAUACUCUCCCUCACUUGGGGCUCUAUUCAAUCACAUCCACUUUAGCUGACAUCCACAUAGCGGUUGUUUUGGUGGUGUCUGAGGUGGAACUGUGUUAGAGCUGUCAUUCACAAGCUGCUCCCUGGCAUUAUACUUAAAGCGGACAUUGCCAUUGGCUGUACGGAGUCGCAUUAACAGAAAACUCAUGCAGCCCUGUUUACAAGUUUGAACACUGGAAUGUGAGAUGUAAUCUACACCUUGAGUAGUCUGAUAGAAAUCAUCAUUAUUUAAUUUAAUUAUUUUUUAAUUUGAGCAUCAAUAUGUCUGUAUAGCCUAAACUUUCUCGUUUUGAAUUUGUAACACAGGUAGGAUGGGUGCAGCUGCUCACCGAUUUGACAGUUCCGACGCAGUUACACCUCAGCUAUGCGGGUGUCGGCUUUCAGGCGGUUAACUCUUCAUCUGAUUGAAUCUAGGCCUUUCUCUUUUAGAUCUGCCACCCCUAGCAGUUCAUCUGCAGUCACAGCAGUCCUCUGCUGUGGUAUGUAAAUUACCGGCUGCACCAGGUCUUACUAUACUGGCCGUGAAGGGAGAAACUACUGAGGAAAACCCAGAUGGAUACAGGUCAUUCAUAAUUAUAUUACAUACACUCACUCACUCACAC